CUCAUUCUUCCUGGACGCAGAACAACAACUCGGGACCCACUGAAUGAUUACUUACUUUGUGGACUCCACCUGCUAUCUCAUAAAGACACUUAAGCAGCAAUGUGGAGAGGUACACCUGAAAAGUAACGGAAUCCUUACGUCAGUAAUCUGCACUAAUUUGCCAGAAAAGAAACACUGAAAGAUGAAAAAAGAAAGAAAGAAAGAGAGGGAAGGAAGGGAGAGAGAGAAGAAAGAAAGAAAGAAAGAAAGAAAGAGAGAGAGAAAGAAAGAAAGAAAGAAAGAAAGAAAGAAAGAAAGAAAGAA
rnacentral:lncRNA from 1 species